rnacentral:rRNA from 1 species
UACAGAGGGGGCAAGCGUUGUUCGGAAUUACUGGGCGUAAAGGGCGCGUAGGCGGCCUGCUAAGUCGAACGUGAAAUCCCUGGGCUCAACCCAGGAACUGCGUCCGAUACUGGUUGGCUUGAAUCCGGGAGAGGGAUGUGGAAUUCCAGGUGUAGCGGUGAAAUGCGUAGAUAUCUGGAGGAACACCGGUGGCGAAGGCGACAUCCUGGACCGGUAUUGACGCUGAGGCGCGAAAGCCAGGGGAGCAAUCGGG